rnacentral:rRNA from 1 species
GAUGAACGCUGGCGGCGUGCCUAAUACAUGCAAGUAGAACGCUGAAGGAAGGAGCUUGCUCUUUCCGGAUGAGUUGCGAACGGGUGAGUAACGCGUAGGUAACCUGCCUGGUAGCGGGGGAUAACUAUUGGAAACGAUAGCUAAUACCGCAUAACAGUAGAUGUUGCAUGAUAUCUACUUAAAAGGUGCAAUUGCACCACUACCAGAUGGACCUGCGUUGUAUUAGCUAGUUGGUGAGGUAACGGCUCACCAAGGCGACGAUACAUAGCCGACCUGAGAGGGUGAUCGGCCACACUGGGACUGGGACACGGCCCAGACUCCUACGGGAGGCAGCAGUAGGGAAUCUUCGGCAAUGGACGGAAGUCUGACCGAGCAACGCCGCGUGAGUGAAGAAGGUUGUCGGAUCGUAAAGCUCUGUUGUAAGAGAAGAACGAGUGUGAGAGUGGAAAGUUCACACUGUGACGGUAUCUUACCAGAAAGGGACGGCUAACUACGUG